GACGAACGCUGGCGGCGUGCUUAACACAUGCAAGUCGAACGCGCCUGUCCUCUGGGUUUCUGGGGGGUGGGUGAGUGGCGAACGGGUGAGUAACACGUGAGUAACCUGCCCCCUUCUUCGGGAUAACGGUCUGAAAGGGCUGCUAAUACCGGGUAUUCACUGGUCUCCGCAUGGGGUCUGGUGGAAAGGUUUUUUUCUGGUGGGGGAUGGGCUCGCGGCCUAUCAGCUUGUUGGUGGGGUGAUGGCCCACGAAGGCUUUGACGGGUAGCCGGCCUGAGAGGGUGACCGGUCACAUUGGGACGGAGAUACGGCCCAGACUCCUACGGGAGGCAGCAGUGGGGAAGAUGACACAAUGGGCGAAAGCCUGAUGCGGCGACGCCGCGUGAGGGGUGGAGGCCUUCGGGUUGUGAACCUCUUUCGCCCGUGGUCAAGCCGCGACGUGGGUCGUGGUGAGGGUAGUGGGUAAAGAAGCGCCGGCUAACUACGUG
rnacentral:rRNA from 1 species